CCCUACGGGGUGCAGCAGGCGCGAAAACUUCGCAACGCGGGAAACCGUGACGAGGGAACUCCAAGUGUCUAUGCAAUGCAUAGACUGUUUUUCAGCCUAAAUCGCUGUUAGAGUAAGGGGUGGGUAAGACCGGUGCCAGCCGCCGCGGUAACACCGGCACCCCGAGUGGUAGCCACUAUUAUUGGGCCUAAAGCGUUCGUAGCCGGUUUGGUAAACUCUUGGGUAAAUCGUACCGCUUAACGGUGCGGAUUCCGGGGACACUACCAGACUUGAGACUGGGGAGAUCAGAGGUACUUGCGGGGGAGCGGUGAAAUGUUGUAAUCCCGCAGGGACCACCAGUGGCGAAGGCGUCUGAUCAGAACGGUUCUGACGGUGAGGAACGAAACCCUGGGGCGCAAACGGGAUUAGAUACCCCGGUAGUCCAGGGCGUAAACGCUGCUGACUUGGUGUUGGAGAUCCUACGAGGGUGUCCAGUGCUGGCGCGAAGGUAUUAAGUCAGCCGCCUGGGGGAGUACGGUCGCAAGACUGAAACUUAAAGGAAUUUGGCGGGGGAACACUGCAACGUGUGGGAGCGUGCGGUUUAAAUGGAAUCAACGCCGGAAAACUCACCGGGGGCGACGGUUACAUGAAAGCCAAGCUGAUGACUUUGCCUGAUUUUCCGAGAGAGGUGCAUGGCCCAAGGCGAAUUCGUUUAACC
rnacentral:rRNA from 1 species